UACGGAAGGCAGCAGUGGGGAAUAUUGCACAAUGGGCGCAAGCCUGAUGCAGCCAUGCCGCGUGUAUGAAAAAGGCCUUCGGGUUGUAAAGUACUUUCAGUCGUGAGGAAGGUGUUAAGGUUAAUAACCUUAGCAAUUGACGUUAGCGACAGAAGAAGCACCGGCUAACUCCGUGCCAGCAGCCGCGGUAAUACGGAGGGUGCGAGCGUUAAUCGGAAUUACUGGGCGUAAAGGGCACGCAGGCGGUUAAUUAAGUUGGAUGUGAAAUCCCCGGGCUUAACCUGGGAAUGGCAUUCAAGACUGGUUAGCUAGAGUCUUGUAGAGGGGGUAGAAUUCCGAUGUGUAGCGGUGAAAUGCGUAGAGAUGUGGAGGAAUACCGGUGGCGAAGGCGGCCCCUGGACAAAGACUGACGCUCAUGUGCGAAAGCGUGGGGAGCAAACGAGGGAUUAGAUACCCG
rnacentral:rRNA from 1 species